CCGAUGGUACUGCAGGAGGGAUCCUGUGGGAGAGUAGGACGCCGCCGGAC
rnacentral:rRNA from 1 species